rnacentral:rRNA from 1 species
CCUACGGGCGGCAGCAGUGGGGAAUAUUGCACAAUGGGCGCAAGCCUGAUGCAGCCCUGCCGCGUGUGUGAAGAAGGCCUUCGGGUUGUACAGCACUUUCAGCGGGGAGGAAGGCGGUGAGGUUAAUAACCUCAUCGAUUGACGUUACCCGCAGAAGAAGCACCGGCUAACUCCGUGCCAGCAGCCGCGGUAAUACGGAGGGUGCAAGCGUUAAUCGGAAUUACUGGGCGUAAAGCGCACGCAGGCGGUCUGUCAAGUCGGAUGUGAAAUCCCCGGGCUCAACCUGGGAACUGCAUUCGAAACUGGCAGGCUAGGGUCUUGUAGAGGGGGGUAGGAUUCCAGGUGUAGCGGUGAAAUGCGUAGAGAUCUGGAGGAAUACCGGUGGCGAAGGCGGCCCCCUGGACAAAGACUGACGCUCAGGUGCGAAAGCGUGGGGAGCAAACAGGAUUAGAUACCCCUGUAGUC